UUUUUGGUUCAUAAGACGGAAACCACCAUUUGUUUUUUUAGAGAGAUACUCAUUCUUUGGAGGUAGCCAUUGAAGAAAAUUCCCAAGAUAAUGAAGAAGAAGAAAAGAAAGGAGUAAAGAAGUACACAAGAGAAAAUGAGAAAGAAAUGAUUUGGGCACAUGGCAGACAAGAGCUUCUUCCCCAAUAGUGGCAGACAAGAGGCGACAGGAUAUACAUUUAUGAUGAAUUUGAGUUUGGGGACAUUUGAUAUUUGUUAUCCAUGAUUAUUGAGCACUCAAUGGAUGACAUUUUGAGGAAAAUGCUCAAACACUAGCUCGAGUAGUUUUUGUCAACCAAGAGAAACAACGUGCACAAGUCGAGAUACAUAAGGGGAUCAAUUAUGACAGUGUAGAUCUCUAGUAGAGAAUAGAGGUUUACCAAAGUUGUGCACAAGGACAGAAUCGUUCAGAUGAAAUGAUGAGGUAUUUGACUAUCAUGAUGCCUAUGAGGAGGGGUGUUCAGAAAAUAUUCAUUCUGAUUCAAUCCAAUCUACUUCGCAUAGUGCGGAUAUCCGCACUUGUGCGGAUUGAAUACACAUUCACCUAUAAAACUAACCGAUCCAAUCUAAACCUAUAUGUAUUUUAAAAAAUUAUGAAUAUAUAUGUAAAAUAAAUAUUUUUAAUAUUUCAAACGUUAAUACUUUUAAAAUGUUUAAAUCAUAAUAAAAUUAAAUCCUCUCUUUAA